rnacentral:rRNA from 1 species
GACGAACGCUGGCGGCGGGCUUAACACAUGCAAGUCGAACGGAAAGGCCCUGCUUUUGUGGGGUGCUCGAGUGGCGAACGGGUGAGUAACACGUGAGUAACCUGCCCUGGACUUGGGAAUAACUUCAGGAAACUGGUGCUAAUACCGGAUAGGAGCUCCUGCUAGAUGGUGGUGGUCGGAAAUUUUAGGCGGUUGGGGAUGGACGCGCGGCUUACCAGCUUGUUGGUGGGGUAGCGGCUUACCAAGGCAUCGACGGGUAGCCGGCCUGAGAGGGUGACCGGCCACAUGGGGACUGCGAUACGGCCCAGACUCCUACAGGGGGCAACAGUGGGGAAUCUUGCCCAGUGGGCGGAAGCCUGAUGCAAAAACGCUGCGUGCGGUAAGACGGCCAUGGGGUUGUAAACCGCUGUAGCUUAUGACGAAGCGUGAGUGACGGUAACGGGUGAAGAAGCACCGGCUAACUACGUG